UACGAAGGGGGCUAGCGUUGUUCGGAAUUACUGGGCGUAAAGCGCGCGCAGGCGGUCCUUUAAGUCAGGGGUGAAAGCCCAGAGCUCAACUCUGGAACUGCCUUUGAAACUAGAGGACUUGGGUACGGGAGAGGUGAGUGGAAUUCCGAGUGUAGAGGUGAAAUUCGUAGAUAUUGGGAGGAACACCGGUGGCGAAGGCGGCUACCUGGACCGGUUCUGACGCUGAUGCGCGAAAGCGUGGGUAGCAAACAGG
rnacentral:rRNA from 1 species